rnacentral:rRNA from 2 species
AGUCGUACGCACUGGCCCAACUGAUUGAUGGUGCUUGCACCGGAUUGACGAUGGAUUACCAGUGAGUGGCGGACGGGUGAGUAACACGUGGGUAACCUGCCCCGGAGCGGGGGAUAACAUUUGGAAACAGAUGCUAAUACCGCAUAACAACGAAAACCACAUGGUUUUCGUUUGAAAGAUGGCUUAUGCUAUCACUCUGGGAUGGACCCGCGGUGCAUUAGCUAGUUGGUAAGGUAACGGCUUACCAAGGCGAUGAUGCAUAGCCGAGUUGAGAGACUGAUCGGCCACAAUGGAACUGAGACACGGUCCAUACUCCUACGGGAGGCAGCAGUAGGGAAUCUUCCACAAUGGGCGCAAGCCUGAUGGAGCAACACCGCGUGAGUGAAGAAGGGUUUCGGCUCGUAAAGCUCUGUUGUUGGAGAAGAACGUAUCUGAGAGUAACUGUUCAGGUAGUGACGGUAUCCAACCAGAAAGUCACGGCUAACUACGUGCCAGCAGCCGCGGUAAUACGUAGGUGGCAAGCGUUAUCCGGAUUUAUUGGGCGUAAAGCGAGCGCAGGCGGUUGCUUAGGUCUGAUGUGAAAGCCUUCGGCUUAACCGAAGAAGUGCAUCGGAAACCGGGCGACUUGAGUGCAGAAGAGGACAGUGGAACUCCAUGUGUAGCGGUGGAAUGCGUAGAUAUAUGGAAGAACACCAGUGGCGAAGGCGGCUGUCUGGUCUGCAACUGACGCUGAGGCUCGAAAGCAUGGGUAGCGAACAGGAUUAGAUACCCUGGUAGUCCAUGCCGUAAACGAUGAGUGCUAGGUGUUGGAGGGUUUCCGCCCUUCAGUGCCGGAGCUAACGCAUUAAGCACUCCGCCUGGGGAGUACGACCGCAAGGUUGAAACUCAAAGGAAUUGACGGGGGCCCGCACAAGCGGUGGAGCAUGUGGUUUAAUUCGAAGCUACGCGAAGAACCUUACCAGGUCUUGACAUCUUGCGCUAACCUUAGAGAUAAGGCGUUCCCUUCGGGGACGCAAUGACAGGUGGUGCAUGGUCGUCGUCAGCUCGUGUCGUGAGAUGUUGGGUUAAGUCCCGCAACGAGCGCAACCCUUGUUACUAGUUGCCAGCAUUAAGUUGGGCACUCUAGUGAGACUGCCGGUGACAAACCGGAGGAAGGUGGGGACGACGUCAGAUCAUCAUGCCCCUUAUGACCUGGGCUACACACGUGCUACAAUGGACGGUACAACGAGUUGCGAACUCGCGAGGGCAAGCUAAUCUCUUAAAGCCGUUCUCAGUUCGGACUGUAGGCUGCAACUCGCCUACACGAAGUCG